rfam:Pyramidobacter piscolens W5455 contig00010, whole genome shotgun sequence.
GGGGGCGAUCAGGUUCGACUGGUAUGGUGGAAGUCUGAGAGCAGGCCGAGCGACAGGCGUUACCUGUCACAAAAAAGAAACGACAACAACUACGCACUGGCUGCUUAACCAAGCAACCGCCCGAACAACUGAGAGCGCCCGCAAGGUUGUAAGGGUCAAUCACUGCGAGCGGCGUAUGGUCCCGGAACGUAGAGAGGCGGCGGCUGUUUUGUCGGUCACAGUCCCGUUUCUGCGCAGUAAAGAAAUCGACUAAGCCUGUAGCCGCUCAUUCAUACACACCAUGUCAGGACCGGGGUGCGAUUCCCCGCGCCUCCACCA